rnacentral:rRNA from 1 species
CCUACGGGGGGCAGCAGUGGGGAAUAUUGGACAAUGGGCGAAAGCCUGAUCCAGCCAUGCCGCGUGUGUGAAGAAGGCCUUCGGGUUGUAAAGCACUUUCAGUGGGGAAGAAAGCCUUGGGGCUAAUACCCUCGAGGAAGGACAUCACCCACAGAAGAAGCACCGGCUAACUCCGUGCCAGCAGCCGCGGUAAUACGGAGGGUGCGAGCGUUAAUCGGAAUUACUGGGCGUAAAGCGCGCGUAGGCGGUCUGAUAAGCCGGUUGUGAAAGCCCCGGGCUUAACCUGGGAACGGCAUCCGGAACUGUCAGGCUAGAGUGCAGGAGAGGAAGGUAGAAUUCCCGGUGUAGCGGUGAAAUGCGUAGAGAUCGGGAGGAAUACCAGUGGCGAAGGCGGCCUUCUGGACUGACACUGACGCUGAGGUGCGAAAGCGUGGGUAGCAAACAGGAUUAGAUACCCUAGUAGUC